rnacentral:rRNA from 1 species
CAGCCGCCGCGGUAAUACAGAGGGUGCAAGCGUUAAUCGGAUUUACUGGGCGUAAAGGGCGCGUAGGUGGUUAUGUAAGUGAGAUGUGAAAUCCCCGGGCUCAACCUGGGAACUGCAUCUUAUACUGCGUAGCUGGAGUGCAGUAGAGGGUAGUGGAAUUUCCGGUGUAGCGGUGAAAUGCGUAGAUAUCGGAAGGAACACCAGUGGCGAAGGCGGCUACCUGGACUGACACUGACACUGAGGCGCGAAAGCGUGGGGAGCAAACAGGAUUAGAUACCCCAGUAGUCCCUGUCUCUUAUAC